CCUACGGGGUGCUGCAGUGGGGAAUAUUGGACAAUGGGCGAAAGCCUGAUCCAGCCAUGCCGCGUGUGUGAAGAAGGCCUUCGGGUUGUAAAGCACUUUCAGUGGGGAAGAAAGCCUUGGGGCUAAUACCCUCGAGGAAGGACAUCACCCACAGAAGAAGCACCGGCUAACUCCGUGCCAGCAGCCGCGGUAAUACGGAGGGUGCGAGCGUUAAUCGGAAUUACUGGGCGUAAAGCGCGCGUAGGCGGUCUGAUAAGCCGGUUGUGAAAGCCCCGGGCUCAACCUGGGAACGGCAUCCGGAACUGUCAGGCUAGAGUGCAGGAGAGGAAGGUAGAAUUCCCGGUGUAGCGGUGAAAUGCGUAGAGAGCGGGAGGAAUACCAGUGGCGAAGGCGGCCUUCUGGACUGACACUGACGCUGAGGUGCGAAAGCGUGGGUAGCAAACAGGAUUAGAUACCCUGGUAGUC
rnacentral:rRNA from 1 species